GCACAAUUUAGCUGAGUUGGUAGAGCAUGAGACUCUUGAUCUCAGGGUUGUGGGUUUGAGCCCCAUGUUGGGCA